rnacentral:rRNA from 1 species
UACGUAGGGGGCUAGCGUUGUCCGGAUUUAUUGGGCGUAAAGAGCGUGUAGGCGGCCAGGUAGGUCUGGUGUGAAAACUCGAGGCUUAACCUUGAGAUGUCAUCGGAAACCAUUUGGCUAGAGUCCGGAAGAGGAAAGUGGAAUUCCUGGUGUAGCGGUGAAAUGCGCAGAUAUCAGGAAGAACACCAAUGGCGAAAGCAGCUUUCUGGGACGGUACUGACACUGAGACGCGAAAGCGUGGGGAGCGAACAGG